UACAGUCUUGUCAAAUUCAGUGUUUCCUUGACAAUGGACUGCCCUGACCAAAAUGGCUGCCACUGUGAACCUGUAGUCCAUGGGCCCUGGAUCUCUUUUCCAUGGAUUCUGGGAUAAUUGUGUACUACACCUUG
ensembl:snoRNA